UGACUAUUGAGUAGUUUUGACACAAUUGGUGAAAAUUUCACAAUUUUUUCAGACCGAAGUGUACGGGACAUUUGUGAAAUGACAUGGAAUGACUCAUCAACAAGUUGGAACAUACUACUUGUGUGAAAGAGAAAUAAAAGAGUAAAUUUCAGGAUUAGAAAAACAAAGUUUGUCAGAAAUAAUUUAAAAAAAAAUUAAAAAGGAUAAUCUCUGACAGACCCUAGCCUGUCUCCUGUAGUACAGUUAAACAGAUUAAUUCAUCUCCCCCCUUCCUCAUACUAUACAAAAUGACUCACAGGAUGUGAUUCAGUGUACUCAGACUCACAGAAAGCAGCGUUCAGGAAGUGAGCAGCUUUCUGACACUUCCUGCACUUUGAAUCAUGGCGCAACAACUCAAUCUUUGGACAGAAAAUACUCAGAGAUAUUCUACUGUGUACCAUGAAGACAGUCGACAUCUGUCUCUGGAAGAACUGAAAAGAUGCCUGGGUGAUCUGGAAGAGUUCGAGAGAAGGAAUGGGGAGAUGAAAAUCAUGAAAUACUUGGGAGUUCAAAACAUCCCAAACUAUCCAAAACCAGAGUUCAGUGUGAGCCGCCUGAAGCACGAGACAACGUUGGACGGUCUUUGUGGAAUUCAAGAAAGUGGAGGAUUCAAAGCGUUUAAGUGUGGAAAGGGAGGAGAUAGACUGCUGUGGUGGAGUCUGGCCGUAGGGCCUGAGGAGGUACGAGCAGCUGAGGGAGAGGAAGCCAAUCAGGAAAUUCCUCUGUGGAAGUUCGCCACCUCUCCAACCUUCACCGAGACGUCCUCGCUCGGAUCGUUUAGGUUCACCUUCACCGUGCAGGAAGUGCUGGACCAGUAUAGAGAGCAGGUACAGAUCUGUCCAAUGCUGUGCUUUACCUGGUGAUCAUGUUAUCUCUUGCCAAAAGCUUCCUCGUGUUUUCUUUUGUGGUUUACAGAUCUGCUUGGGGGAGGAGCCUGUCAUGAGGGUGUACAGGACUUCUCUCUUCCCACAGAAAAUUCAGUACACCAUACUGAUCCACAGUCCGGUGCAUGAGAAGACUUUCUCCAAGUAUUCUCUGCUGAAGGAUGAGCCGGGCGCUGUCUGCAGCUACAGAGACGGACGCUUCAUCUGGAAGUCACAGGCCAUGUGUGGCACGCACCACUACAUGUUGACAGACGAUGGACAGGUGGAGCCAUGGAGCAGUUACCCUCAGUACUAUGUGUAUGACAGCGUGGCCAUCGCCCUGCAAAUGGAGGAGGAACAGGUUUUAGAGUUUGAUAAGGAUCUCCUGAGGAUGAACCUCAAGUUCUGUCAUCGAGGUCCUGAAGCUUUUGGAUCAUGGGUUAAUCACAUCUUUACGAGUCGUAAACAUGCUGAACGUGAGGUCCGUAGACUCUGGCCUGAUCAUGAAGGAAACCUGGAGGAAGAACGUUCUCUUCAGGAGAAGUUCGCAGUUUCCAACCUCCGGCUGGUUCUCCUCGGGAAGUCAGGAUGUGAGACGUCUGAUAGUGCAGACUUGAUCCUGAAUACAAACACCUUCUCCAAGGUUUUCGAACAAACAGGAGGACUUUUGUACUGGAGGCAGAGCGGGGAGGUGUUCAACAGGUUUGUGACGGUCCUGGACACUCAUCAGUUCUCCCAGUGGAAAUCACAGAAGAACAUCAGAUACUUCAAAAAAGAAGCUUUAAGGGCUGACGCCGUCCUAUUGGUGAUCAAAGGAGGAAGAAAACAAACUCUAUAUGUGGAUGAUCUGAAGAAUAAGGUGGAGACGCUGCUGGGAGAGUACGUGUGGAGAUCCACCAUCCUUCUCUUUGUCGAUGGAAGGAUGGGUAAUCCUGAGCAGAGGCCUGAGCUGCAGGAGCUUCUUGAGAAAGUCGACAGAAGAUACGUGAAGUUCAGUUCAGAUCAGGUUCAGACUCUGCUGGACAUGGUGGAGGAGAUGAAGAGGAGAGCGUAGACCAGGGGUCACCUAUAGGAGGAACCCGCUGACAUCAUGGUGUUCCUUCUUUACAUUUUAGUAUCAAAACACCUGCAUUUAUGAAGAUUUUAAUUCAGAAGUAAUUUAAUAAAUCAAUAUUCAUUUAUUUAGAAAAAUAUAUA
ensembl:lncRNA uncharacterized LOC114466598